GGGCGCGUGGUGGAAUGGCAGACACGCUGGAUUUAGGAUCCAGUGCCGAAAGGCGUGUGGGUUCGACUCCCACCGCGCCCACCA
rnacentral:tRNA from 1 species